GGCCACUGCUAUCGGGGUCCGACUAAGCCAUGCGAGUCAAGGGGGCGUCCCUCUGGGACGCCACCGGCGCACGGCUCAGUAACACGUGGCUAACCUACCCUCGGGUGGGGGAUAACCUCGGGAAACUGAGGCUAAUCCCCCAUAGGGGAGGAGGUCUGGAAUGAUCCUCCCCGAAAGCGCCUCACGGCGCGCCCGAGGAUGGGGCUGCGGCGGAUUAGGUAGUUGGUGGGGUAACGGCCCACCAAGCCUACGAUCCGUACGGGCCCUGAGAGGGGGAGCCCGGAGAUGGACACUGAGACACGGGUCCAGGCCCUACGGGGCGCAGCAGGCGCGAAACCUCCGCAAUGCGCGAAAGCGCGACGGGGGGACCCCGAGUGCCCACGCUCUGCGUGGGCUUUUCCGGAGUGUAAACAGCUCCGGGAAUAAGGGCUGGGCAAGUCCGGUGCCAGCAGCCGCGGUAAUACCGGCGGCCCAAGUGGUGGCCACUGUUAUUGGGCCUAAAGCGUCCGUAGCCGGCCCGGUAAGUCUCUGCUUAAAUCCUGCGGCUCAACCGCAGGGCUGGCAGAGAUACUGCCGGGCUUGGGACCGGGAGAGGCCGGGGGUACCCCAGGGGUAGCGGUGAAAUGCGUUGAUCCCUGGGGGACCACCUGUGGCGAAGGCGCCCGGCUGGAACGGGUCCGACGGUGAGGGACGAAGGCCGGGGGAGCAAACCGGAUUAGAUACCCGGGUAGUCCCGGCUGUAAACUCUGCGGACUAGGUGUCGCGUCGGCUUAGGGCCGACGCGGUGCCGAAGGGAAGCCGUUAAGUCCGCCGCCUGGGGAGUACGGUCGCAAGACUGAAACUUAAAGGAAUUGGCGGGGGAGCACUACAACGGGUGGAGCCUGCGGUUUAAUUGGAUUCAACGCCGGGAAUCUUACCAGGGGCGACGGCAGGAUGAAGGCCAGGUUGACGACCUUGCCAGACGCGCCGAGAGGUGGUGCAUGGCCGUCGUCAGCUCGUACCGUGAGGCGUCCUGUUAAGUCAGGUAACGAGCGAGACCCGUGCCCCAUGUUGCUACCCUCCCCUCCGGGGGAGGGGCACUCAUGGGGGACCGCCGGCGCAAAGCCGGAGGAAGGUGCGGGCAACGACAGGUCCGCAUGCCCCGAAUCCCUGGGCUACACGCGGGCUACAAUGGCCGGGA
rnacentral:rRNA from 1 species